rnacentral:rRNA from 1 species
UUGGCCUACGGGGCGCAGCAGUGGGGAAUAUUGGACAAUGGGGGGAACCCUGAUCCAGCGACGCCGCGUGAGUGAAGAAGUAUUUCGGUAUGUAAAGCUCUAUCAGCAGGGAAGAAAAUGACGGUACCUGACUAAGAAGCCCCGGCUAACUACGUGCCAGCAGCCGCGGUAAUACGUAGGGGGCAAGCGUUAUCCGGAUUUAUUGGGUUUAAAGGGUGCGUAGGCGGACUGUUAAGUCAGCGGUAAAAGCCCGGGGCUCAACCCCGGCGAGCCGUUGAAACUGGCUGUCUUGAGAUGUCGAGAGG